GCUAGCCCCUACUAUGGGGUUUCAAAGUUCAUAAUCUGUAUUCUGAUUUGAACAGAACUACUACCGUCAUAGUUGUACAUGCCUUUAUAAAGUAAGAUCAGAUUCUCUAAAUCUAACAUCUUGGACCUACAUCUACUGCUAAAGAUCAGUGUGCAUCCCAAGCAGCUAUUUUCUUUAUAUACAAAGAACAUCAAAUAAUACAUACAUACUUAGUUUUGCUCCUUGUACGGAGUCCAUAUCAAUUUGCUGACAUCAACUUCCAGGCCACCCCGCCCAGCAGCUUUGAGAUGACGAUCUAAGACUUUCGGGUCUGCGCAGAUGACAUGCUGCCCCUUUCGAUAUUGGAUCAACUCUAAACCCUGAAGGGUGGACAAAAUAUCUUCUGCCUUGAUGGCUGUCAUGUCACUUAGUUCCUUGAUAGAUAUAUUGCCCUUGUGCUUUUUCAAUAUAUCCAGAAGCACACGCGUCCAGUAACCCCUAUAGCUCAACAUUCCCAAGUCGGAAAGUGGCCUUUCU
rnacentral:misc_RNA from 1 species